UAACUGAAGAGUUUGAUCAUGGCUCAGAUUGAACGCUGGCGGCAGGCUUAACACAUGCAAGUCGAGCGGGGGAAGGUAGCUUGCUACCGGACCUAGCGGCGGACGGGUGAGUAAUGCUUAGGAAUCUGCCUAUUAGUGGGGGACAACAUCUCGAAAGGGAUGCUAAUACCGCAUACGUCCUACGGGAGAAAGCAGGGGAUCUUCGGACCUUGCGCUAAUAGAUGAGCCUAAGUCGGAUUAGCUAGUUGGUGGGGUAAAGGCCUACCAAGGCGACGAUCUGUAGCGGGUCUGAGAGGAUGAUCCGCCACACUGGGACUGAGACACGGCCCAGACUCCUACGGGAGGCAGCAGUGGGGAAUAUUGGACAAUGGGGGGAACCCUGAUCCAGCCAUGCCGCGUGUGUGAAGAAGGCCUUAUGGUUGUAAAGCACUUUAAGCGAGGAGGAGGCUACUUUAGUUAAUA
rnacentral:rRNA from 1 species